rnacentral:rRNA from 1 species
UACGUAGGGGGGCAAGCGUUGUCCGGAUUUAUUGGGCGUAAAGAGCGUGUAGGCGGCUUUGCAAGUCCGUUGUGAAAACUCGAGGCUCAACCUCGAGACGCCGGUGGAAACUGCAAAGCUAGAGUCCGGAAGAGGAGAGUGGAAUUCCUGGUGUAGCGGUGAAAUGCGCAGAUAUCAGGAAGAACACCCGUGGCGAAGGCGGCUCUCUGGGACGGUACUGACGCUGAGACGCGAAAGCGUGGGGAGCGAACAGG